GUGCCAGCCGCCGCGGUAAAACGUAGGUACCGAGCGUUAUCCGGAUUUACUGGGCGUAAAGCGCGUUCAGGCGGUUUGGCAAGUCGGGCAUGAAAUCUCUCGGCUCAACCGGGAGAGGUUGUCCGAUACUGUCAGACUGGAGGGCAGUAGAGGGUGGUGGAAUUCCGGGUGUAGUGGUGAAAUGCGUAGAGAUCCGGAGGAACACCAGUGGCGAAAGCGGCCACCUGGACUGCACCUGACGCUGAAACGCGAAAGCUAGGGGAGCGAACGGGAUUAGAAACCCCCGUAGUCC
rnacentral:rRNA from 1 species